CGCCUCCCCGUCCCUCCGCUUCCUCGGCCUGCUCAAGCAACCCGACCAUGCCAGCGCCCAGGACCUGGAGCUCGACGAGCGCGACGUCGUCUGGUCCUCCUCCUCCUCCUCCUCCUCCAGCGCGGCCUCCUCGCCCUCGCCUUCCUCCUCGCCGUCCCCGGCCGCCAGCCUCCGGAGGCCGGUCUCCGCGUCGUCCUCCCGCCACUUCCCCGCGGGCAGCAUGGGGCUGUCCGCGCUGCUCGCCGACGACCACCACCACCAGCGCGCGCCCACCGCGCCCGUCCCCGUCGUCGCGCGCCCGGAGAGACAGCAGCAGCAGCGCGCCCCGCAGCCGUACCACCGCUCGGCUCCCGUCGCCGUGCCGGCCUGGCCCAAGGCGAUGCAGCCGGUGACGGACAGGCGCCGCCGGGAAGCGGAGCUGCUGCAGGCCGCGCCCGACGACGGUUACGAUGACGGCGAGCCCGUGGUGCCGCCGCACGAGAUGGCCGCGCGCCGCGCCGCGGCGGCGGCGUCGGUGAUGGAAGGCGUCGGCCGCACGCUCAAGGGCCGCGACCUCCGCCGCGUGCGCAACGCCGUCUGGCGCACCACCGGCUUCCUCGACCUGUGAAAAAGGACGUCCCUUUCCUUUGGAGGUUCCGUUUCCUUUCCUUCUCUGGCCACGUCGCUCCACUCCACUUGAGCUGCCUGCCUCGGACGGACCUCGGCUUCUUUCUUCUUGCGUAGCGUAGUGCUGUGCCAGCUGCCAGGCACUGAAAAAAGGCGGCCGUUUCCCCACUAUAUAGGUUCGAAGUUCUACUAGCUUCGUUAUAUCAGGUCAGGUGUAUUUGUUGCGGAAAUGGCUGCAGGUGCUUCGGUGUUUUUCCUGGAAGAGAACUACUGUGAUGUGAUCACUCUGCAACUAAUGUUUCAAGACCUGUGCAACCCUUUUGUCAAAGAAUUUCCUCGGAAGGUGAUCCAGAAUAGCUAAAGCCUGCGUGCGUGUGUGUGUGUAGCAGAGCUCAUGUCACUGUUAAACCCUGUGGUCUAGUGCGCACAAGUGCAAAACAGAUGUGGUGUGUUCAUGGCUUUUUGUAUACCAUUGUGGCUAAUGGAGUGACUUUUUUCUUUCUAUAAAAGCAGUUUUUUCCUCCA
rnacentral:lncRNA from 1 species